UAUAAAAAGGGACUGUUUGAACUGCUCAGCACGGCAGUGGCGGAGCGCAGACUCCCCUGUCGUCCAGCGCUGUUUUUGCUCAUAUUCUACUUGCUAUAAUUAAUAAAAUUUUAAUUGGAUUAUGAUCCGUUGUGGUCACAAUUUAUGACAAUUUCUGGUGCCGUGACUCGGAUAAGGAACGGUGGGCUUUGGUCCUCCGGGGAGGCGCCCCGCGACAUUUCGCGGCCCCGCGACCAACAGCUCACUCCAACCUUACCGACGAACCUAAAUUCUAGGAUAUUGAGCAAAAAAGGACCGGUAAAAUCCCAUAAAAUUCUGUGCACGGAAGUCCGGACGAAGACGCAGGACGCCAGAACAUCGUAACAAGCUUUGGGAACAUGGACUGAUUGUACAACGACCCCCGUUGGACUUAAAAAUUCAUAAUGUUAAACCUGGGGAUUGGAUAUUGAUUAAAGUGUGGAAGGAAGAAACCCUAAAACCCAAUUGGGAGGGACCUUAUCUUGUUUUGCUUACAACAGAAACAGCUGUCCGAACUGCGGAGCGUGGAUGGACUCAUGCCAGUCGCAUUAAAGGCCCAGUGACGAGACCCCACUGGAAAGUAAUCAGUACUCCAGGUGACACCAAGAUAACCCUGAAAAGAUAACGUAAUGAUAAAGACUUUAUUGGAUUAUUUUGCCGCAUUACCUUUCGGUAUAAAGUGUGUAUUGCUGUUUAUAUUUGCUAUAAUUAUUUCUCUUUUUUUCUAUUAUAUAUGGAAGCGUACAAAGUGUGUUGAAGGAAAUUGCUAAACUUAUGCAACCUCACAAUAUUAAAUAUAGAAGAUAGGUUGAUGUAAAUAAUAUAUGCACUCUAGAUAUACGAAUUAGGUGUAAUGUUUUGAACUGCAAUUGUUAUCCAUUUGCUUGUUUUAGGUGUAAGGUAUGCCAGGAUAAAUGGUAGACACAUUGUGAAUGUGGAUACCCUCUAAUAGGAGUUUGCACACAGUGUUGGAAAAUCCAAAGAACUCUCACUGAGUGGAAAUUAAAACAAUUAGAGUCUAAACAAAAAAAAAAAAAAAA
rnacentral:lncRNA from 1 species